UUAAGAAAGAUGACAUUUUCCCUAAACUUUAGGGGCUGGCAGAUUCCUUUUAAUUCUUUCUCAUUCCCUAUCAUGGGCACAUGCUCACAUUCUAUAAAAAUGGGAUUCCUCCUCUCAUUCUCAUAGGGGAUUUUGAUACAAAAAAUCUCUAUGAAAAUAAGAACCUAUUCCAUCAGGGGAGUUACGUGAUGUGGGUUGAACUUGCAAAUUAGCCUAGCUGGGAUUUGGUUAAGCAAGUCCGGACCCCAGGUCACUGGGUUUGGGUAUUAAUCCCAAUGCUUUAGGCCUGGAGCCGCUAGAGUGAUGAUUAGCUAUUAUAUUCAUUUCAGUUUCUUGUGAUAGUUUAAUCAAUAUGCUUCUUUUCAAUUUGUCAAAGUGUUUGGUUCAAACAAGUAGUUUCUCAA